CUAACGGCUGAACCAGCAACUUGGAGGAAUGUAUAGCUACGGCUAAUUGUGUAUAACUACACGAUAUCGACUCUGUCGAAUAAAAUUCUGGGUAAAUUAUGAUGAUGACAUUUUUUACCUAUGUGUCUUGACCAAAUUGUGUGCCAGCAGUCGCGGUAAUACAUAGAAGACUAGUGUUAUUCAUCUUUAAUAGGUUUAAAGGGUACCUAGACGGUAGAUCAAGCCCUAGACGGGACUAAUCUGCUAGAGUUACUUAUGAGGGGGCUUUAAAGUACUAAUGGUGUAGAGAUAAAAUUUUGUAAUACCAUUUUUCGUAAAGAAAAAUUAUGGCACUGGUAAAGGCGAAAGCAUCCCCCUAUGUGA
rnacentral:rRNA from 1 species